rnacentral:lncRNA from 8 species
AUGUGUUCAAGUUGGAUGCAGGUGACAUUUCUCCUUGCACACUUGAUUGUUGCAGGAGCAGUGGUAUACCAGUACCCAGGGUCACUAACAGUGGCAGAGGGUACCAAUGUGACAUUUUACUGUGACAUCAGUGAAAUGGGAGGGGAAUGCUCUUAUAUUGUAUGGGUGCAUGUGGGACCUAUGAGAAAGCUCACACUCUGGCCUCGAAAAACCUACAGUGUCCACACCAACACGGCUUGCCUCCUGAACAUCAUCAAUGCCAACAGGACAAGUGUGGGCAUCUUCUACUGUGCCCUGCUUAACGGUGCCAUGCUGAACAUGGGCAAUGGGAGUGUGCUGGAAAUCUCUGACCCUAUCACCUCUGACGUUACUCUGGAGGUCCUGGUGCCUGUGGACUGGCAGGAGGCCCCCUCAUCCCCAGUCCCACUCCUGUGCCUGGUGUCUGGACUGGAUCCCAGUCAGGCCAGGGUGUACUGGGAGGUGGAGGGGAAGGUUCAGUCCUCAGAGCGUUUACCUGAGGUUCAGUCAGAGAAGCCAGCCAGUGUCAGAGUCCAGCUCUCUGUACCUGGCCAUACCUGGGCUGAAGGUGAAGAGAUCACCUGUGUUAUGGAGAGUACCAGUGGGGUGAAGAUGAACAAGACAGUCAGCAGGAUGGGAAUGGAGAGGUCUAGACAGGGAAUGUUUCUGGCCAUCUCUUUGGGCAGCAUGUGUAUCCUUCUUUCUAUUGUGGUGAUUAUCAUCACCUUGUAUGUCUGCAGACUGAGACACGACCCUCGAAAGAAAAUAUUUCAACCCUACAAGCACAACCAGGACGGAGCACAGGUAAAAUAACUUUUUUUAAUAAAUGUUUGUGUAUUAUACUAUUCUUUUUCUGAGAUUAUACUAUUACUAUGUUUUCUACUAUUACAAUUUGUAAUGAUGAUAAUGAUUGUGUUUUCUUGUCAUUCAGGGUCUGACUGAGGUGCAAUAUGCCAGUUUAAAGUUUGGAGCUGUUAGUGGCAGACCCUUACCUGCAGCUAAAAACAGACAAUAUAAGUAGGCUAAAGCUGCCCUAGUAAGACCUUACAUGUGAAUUAAAUUUUCUCCAAAAACAUAAAAGAAGUGCUUAUUCAUUCAGGGUCAUCGGUUUGUCAAAAUGCUCCUGUGCUUUCUUGCUUAUGUUUUCUGACCUACUUAUUUGAGUCAAUGAUGUAAGGAUUUUUGCCUUUAGAAUAAGGAACUUAUGUAGUCAGAUUGUGUAGUCAUUUUACAAGCUUUGUGAUUAGAAAUCAUUUGUCUUGUUGAAAUAAUAGCCAAAUGUAAAUUACAUUAAAGACAAAUACAAGUUUAAUUUAUGGAGUGAACUAAUUUCUCUAGUCAUAUGCUGAUGAGAUUUUUGUGAUAAUAGUCAGCAAUAAAAAUGGGUCACAGAUGGAAUCUUUUUAAUCUCCAACAUAAAUCGUACAUCCUGUUUGUUUCACAUAAUGCUCAGCAAGUACAACAGCACAGCUCCAUUUGAUGGUAAGCAAUUUUGUCCUCUUAGUAUUUCAAAAUAUCUCACAAGUUAGGUGCGUUCUAUUACUUAAAUGAUGGAGCAUCUUUCAUCUCUGUGAUGUUGCAACACAAACCCACAGAUUUACAUAAUUUUUACCCAAACACAGAUGGUGUUUGACCUUAAGCUAUUUGAAAGUGGAAAUAAUUGAUGUAUUAUCUAUUUAUUUAACCUUUAUUUAACUAGGCAAGUCAGUUAAGAACAAAUUCUUAUUUACAAUUACAGCCUAGGAACAGUGGGUUAAUUGCCUUGUUCAGGGGCAGAACGACAGAUUUUUACCUUGUCAGUUUGGGGAUUUGAUCUAGCAACCUUUCGGUUAUUGGCCCAACGCUCUAACCACGAGGCUACCUGCCGCCCCAAUCUAUACAGUAUUCAUAUUCUGUAUUAUUAGUUUAUAGUUCCCAUACACACUAGCUGUAAAUCAAUAAUUUUUAUUGUAGGCUGUGCCAGUUUCCUUCACUUGACACAUCAUUAUGUUGCAGUCACUGUCCACCAGAAGGUAGUAAAGAGGUGUAACUUAGUUUCUGUUUAAAUGCUCCCUGAGUAAGCAGAGGCCAUUCAACCCUCCAGGUGCCAUAGCAGUCCAUAAACCAGAAACCUGGACAUUUUGACUGCCAUUGUAAAACAUUGGAGUUUUAGAAACUGACCAGUAUAUAGACUGCUCUAAAAUACUUUAUCUAAGUCCCCCUUUUCUCUUCAAAAGAUCAACCAGCUGCUUUCACAUUAGACUUUCUUAAAGUAAUUCAUGUCAGAUUGAGGGGUAAGUGUUGACACUGAGCAUAUAUGUAGACUGAUAAUCAGUGUAUAGGAUCAUGGGAGGAAAAUUGAGGGGAAUUGGGGAGAGGGGUUAACAUUUCUCAAUGUAUGCAGGGACUAGAUGUGGAACCAUUGUAAGGAAGGAAGGAAUGGUGAUAUUUGGCUCCUGCCCCCUUCCCCCCGUCUUGAUAGGAAUGCGUGAACUCCUUUCCUCCUGCUCGGUUUGAUGAUGUCAUGGCUUGUGCAUGUCCCUUUGGCACGGACUCUGCCAGCUGCUGAGCUGAGUUUGUUGCAAAACAGACACAGCAUUAUUUCCAUGUUUAAGAGCUCCGUCGGGUGGGUUAAAACAUUGCCUUUAGGUGGAUCAUUCUUCUCUGUCUUCUCCUUCUUUCAAUGCUUACAUUGUAGGUAGACCUGUUGACAUUAAUCUUUAGUGAGUGAAAGAAAGUAAAACAGAAGCAUUUGAUAUAGAUUAUACAGUAGUUUCAUUCAUAUUUUAUAUUCUGCCCUAUGGAUAGACAGGUUGAGUUCAAAGUUCUUGUUACACUACCACUUGUAAGAACAUAUAGAGGUAUGAAUUAUCCCUUGCGUGAGUUUCUUUCAUUUUCCACAGAUAUCAAAAGUACAAAAUAUUGCACUUUAACGGUUAAAGUGCAAUAUUCCAGCAUUAAUCUUCCU